ACUAGGGGCUACACAGAGGGUACCAGGAUAUAUUAGGAUAUAUAUUAGGAGUUAAAGUCCGGAGCAGAGCAGAACCCGCAAUCACACGCUCCGUGUAUAUUACCUUGAUGCGGAAGUGCCAGAACCACAAGCAGCGAAUUUAUUAUCGGCACGGCAUGGGGAAAGCCCCGUGACUCCCUUACUUCUCAUUAUCGGAUUAAAAUUCAAAUGUGAAAGAUACAUGACGAUACCGGAAAUAAAAUGUUCCGGAAACAUUCACUCGUGAUUCAUUUGUUCCGCGUGAAAUAUACAAGUACGCUUCCUCGACCAAGGAAUGAUCGAAGUGCGGCUUGUUUCCCGACAUCCUUUCACAAGAGAAAAAGGCAGGAUCGCGUGACGUGAUAAACGGGUCACAGGCCGGUACCCAGAGGGUGACCCCACGAGAGCGAAAGGUCCGCUGUGGAGCCACAAUACCACCAACACGGACAUAAGAGAUCUCUUUGUGAGACCUGAAAUCGAUCAAUUGAUGGAUGAAUCGAGUUCCUACUGUAUAGCAGAAAUUGAAAGGGCAUAUGCCAUCACGUGAUGCCAUUAAGGUCUACAGGCUCGCUCUCUUCCAAUGGGCACAGGUCACGGAAAAAGCGAGUAAAGGGGUCGUCCUUUUCCUUUCAUCAAUGCUGACUCAUGUAACCAGGGAAUGAUGUGUUAAGUGGAAAUGAAGGGUAAUCUACUCGAUUCGUGUAAUUAGGGAAUGAUGUGUUAAGUGGAGAUGGAGGGUAAUCUACUCGAUUCGUGUUCAAUCUGAAGAGCACUUUCAAUCAAAUAAAAAACAUGUAGUUAUUACCCACAAGUUCGCGUACAGAUAUCACCUAGCAACUAGCAAUAGAUAUAUAGAUUAUCUGUUUUGUUCCCUAAUUGUACAAUAUAAUAAUCCUGAUGGAACUUUUCUAGUAGUCUCUCUUAGUAGAUAUUAAAGGGAUAUCAAAUUAGUUUUGGAUCAGGGUGGUGGGUAGAAUCAAGCGAGCUUUUGUUUAUCUUUUAAGUUAGAUUGGAGUAUUUAUUUUCAUUGGAGUGGUAAAUCACUUAUUUAGAACAUGUAGUAUGAUUUUAAUUUGAUUUUGAGUAUGAAAUGGGAGCGAAAAUGGGUAAACUUUAAAGCGCACUAGCAUACAAACAUUGGCACUAGGCGGGCCAAGACAACACGCUAGCACAGUCUAUUACCCGUGCAGUUUGGCAACCAUGGACAGCUGUUUCGUCCGUUUUAGGGACUCUCAGCACGGCAUAGCCGGCUUCCCUCAAUUAAACUUCAUCGGCAAUGCUUUUAAAGUUUACCCCAAUAAAAUGGGAGCAAUUUUGUAUUACUGGGCAAUAAUGAUUAUGACUCCAAAGCGCAGUUUGGCAUAAUUUUAAUAGGAAUUUUUUUGUAUUGUAAAAAGGCUUUUAAUAAAAAUAUUAUUACUGCUA